AAUUGAAGAGUUUGAUCAUGGCUCAGAUUGAACGCUGGCGGCAGGCCUAACACAUGCAAGUCGAACGGUAACAGGAAGCAGCUUGCUGCUUCGCUGACGAGUGGCGGACGGGUGAGUAAUGUCUGGGAAACUGCCUGAUGGAGGGGGAUAACUACUGGAAACGGUAGCUAAUACCGCAUAACGUCGCAAGACCAAAGAGGGGGACCUUCGGGCCUCUUGCCAUCGGAUGUGCCCAGAUGGGAUUAGCUUGUUGGUGGGGUAACGGCUCACCAAGGCGACGAUCCCUAGCUGGUCUGAGAGGAUGACCAGCCACACUGGAACUGAGACACGGUCCAGACUCCUACGGGAGGCAGCAGUGGGGAAUAUUGCACAAUGGGCGCAAGCCUGAUGCAGCCAUGCCGCGUGUAUGAAGAAGGCCUUCGGGUUGUAAAGUACUUUCAGCGGGGAGGAAGGGAGUAAAGUUAAUACCUUUGCUCAUUGACGUUACCCGCAGAAGAAG
rnacentral:rRNA from 1 species